AUGAUUCAUCCUGAGAAAGCAGUCAAGUCCCAUCUGUUUCUCAGGACUCCCAAAAGACGUCCAGGCAGAAGAGUUCUGGGACCCGAGUCAGCAUCAAGUGCCUCGGACAUUUACUGAGCAUCCUGGCUACCCAGCGCCCCAGCAAGGAGGUAGAAAUCCACUAGGAAGCAAAUGAGAACAAAAAUUCACAACGCAAGCCAGAAGUGCCACAACAGAGGGUGCAGAAAAGCACCUCCAGCACCCAGACAAAAAAGGGGCUCACCCUGCUUGGGAAGCCAGAGAGGUAUAAUUUGCCACUAUGGUGUAAGAAACCACCAUUUCUGGGAACUACAACACGUUUGGCUGAGGAACAAAAGCACCUGCCAAACCACCACAGAAAGAAAAAAAAAAAAAAAUGCCCUGUUUGUUGGCUCCUGAAAAAAGUAAACAGCCGAAUGGAGUUGCAGGCCUCUAUUCUGAAGAACCCCAGUUUGGUGAGUUAAAGGUCUGCUUCCUGCCUCCAGUCAUCCCACACACAGCUGCUGGAGUCAUCGAAAAGUGAGCACCUGUUGAGUCACUCACCUGUUCAAUCACAUUAACAGCUCCCAAUUUCCUGUUCAGUCAGAUACAAACGCCAAAGUGCUCCAGUAAGGUUCAACAUCCCCUCGUAAUCCUCCCUCCCUCUACCUGGAAACGCUAAGCUCCUGCUAAACAGGAUCAGCUCCUGCACCCUAGACCUGCUGCCUCCUUUGCUCUUCUCCAGGCCUCACUCCUGACUGAACUCAAUUCACCCACCAGGGCUUACCUCCGACACCCCACUUCACAGAGCCUCCUGCCCUCCAAAUGGAUGUGGGCUCACAGCACAUUACUAGUCCCUCUCAUGAGUGGUUACAGGACUCGGCUGUGUUGAAGUCCUGUGUUCUUAUAUUUUCACCGUGGGUUUACACCAUGGGCUUCUUGAGGACAAGGUCUGCCUUUUUCAUUUUGGUGUCCUAUAGAACAGGGGUCCCCAACCCCCGGGCUGUGGACCCAUACUGGUCUGUGGACGGGUCCACGGCCUGUUAGGAACCGGGCCACACAGCAAGAGGUGAGCAGUGGGUGAGCAAGCAAAGCUUCAUCUGUAUUUACAGCCGCUCCUUGUCACUGGCAUUACUGCCUAAGCUCCACCUCCUGUCAGAUCAGUGGCAGCAUUAGAUUUUCAUAGGAGUGUGAACCCUAUUGUGUACUACGCAUGUGAGCAUAGUGUGGCAUGUUUCUUAUGAGAAUCUAAUGCCUGAUGAUCUGUUAUUGUUUCCCAUCGUGCCCAGAUGGGACCGUCUAGUUGCAGGAAAACAAGCUCAGGGCUCCUACUGAUUCUACAUCAUGGUGAGUUGUAUAAUUAUUUCAUUCUACAUCACAAUGUAGUAAUAAUUAUAGAAAUAAAGUGCGCAAUAAACAUAAUGCACUUGAGUCAUUUCAAAACAUUCCCUGCCCCUGCUUCCCCGGUCCACAGAAAAACUUCCACGAAACUGGUCCCUGGUGCAAAAAAGGUUGGGGACUGCUGAUAUACAGUAUCUCUCACAUUCUAGGUUCUCUAAAUACACAUUCAAUUGAGUUAAAAAGAGGCAAAUUCUUUCAGCUCUAAGUUAGAAGAGAAAACAGGUUAAUUCUUAUGCUUGACUAAGUAAUAGGACACAGUUUUGUUGGAUACAGAUGACAUUACUUGCAGAAAUGAAGACUUAGAAAAAAUCAACUUAAAGCAUUAUGCGCAGGGAAAAGCAAAGCAGAAUGAAGUGGCUCAGGGUGAAGAUGCCCUGCCUGGGAACAAUGAAGCUGAAGGACAUGCCCUAACAUUCCACAGCCAAUGUGUUUCUCUCAAUUCUUGUGUGAUUUGUUGAUUUUCAUCUCUGGACAAAAUAGGAAAUCCUGAAGUUUGAAGGACUCUGUUUCAUUUUAAAAACAUUAAAAGGCUUAAAUGUGAUGGAGAUACAGUACAGAUGACGUUCUUGGAACCUGUAAUAAAACACUCUACAGUCUUCCUGUGGCCACACACUCCUGAGAGAGCUGGUCUUUGCGCUGUUUAAAGUUCCUGCUGAUCCAGGCAGGGCCCAUACAGGUGGGGCAGGAUGGCCUGUGGUAACCCAGCUGCCAUCAUCUAUGGACGGUAACGAGGUUUGCUGCUGAAUUCACAAGAUAAUGUGUGACCUUCUGACAUAUGCCAAUAUUUUUCCAUCUAGCAUACUGUUUUGGAACACUUUAUUAAGGAAGGAAAAACAUUGGCUGCGCUCAUGAAAGUAAUGAGUCACAGAGCAGUGACGAAAGAGAACGAUGCUGUUCAGACCCGAACCUCGGGCCAAAUGAGAUUUAUUACUAGACAGAUUAAAUAAUAUAGAUGACUCUGAAAGUCCCAAAUCCUGGGAUUUGCAUGGCUUUAUCUGGAAAGAUUACUUUGGAAAUCAAAUACAAUUUCCCAGCUGUAGGGCUUGACUCUGCUAGUUACCACCAGGAAGAUCAGAUCAUAACAUGGACGCACGGUAUGUUAAGUAAGAAAGAAGCUCAGUCUUUAUUCCCCUCACCGUAACAACCCAAUAAAGUGGUUAACUUGGAUGAAUGUCAAAUCUUACAGCCCUCUAU